rnacentral:rRNA from 1 species
GGUUCAGGACGAACGCUGGCGGCGUGCCUAACACAUGCAAGUCGAGCGAGGAGAUCCUUCGGGAUGAUCCUAGCGGCGGACGGGUGAGUAACACGUGGGCAACCUGCCUCAUAGAGAGGAAUAGCCUUCCGAAAGGGAGAUUAAUACCUCAUAACAUUGCAGUUUCGCAUGGAACAGCAAUUAAAGGAGCAAUCCGCUAUGAGAUGGGCCCGCGGCGCAUUAGCUAGUUGGUGAGGUAACGGCUCACCAAGGCGACGAUGCGUAGCCGACCUGAGAGGGUGAUCGGCCACAUUGGGACUGAGACACGGCCCAGACUCCUACGGGAGGCAGCAGUGGGGAAUAUUGCACAAUGGGGGAAACCCUGAUGCAGCAACGCCGCGUGAGUGAUGACGGCCUUCGGGUUGUAAAGCUCUGUCUUCAGGGACGAUAAUGACGGUACCUGAGGAGGAAGCCACGGCUAACUACGUGCCAGCCGCCGC